AACGUAGGUUCCGAGCGUUAUCCGGAUUUACUGGGCGUAAAGCGCGUUCAGGCGGUUCGGCAAGUCGGUCGUGAAAUCCUUCGGCUCAACCGAAGAACGUCGGCCGAUACUGCCGUUCUUGAGGGAUGCAGAGGAGAUUGGAAUUCCCGGUGUAGCGGUGAAAUGUGUAGAGAUCGGGAGGAACACCGGUGGCGAAGGCGGGUCUCUGGGCAUCUCCUGACGCUGAGGCGCGAAAGCGUGGGGAGCAAACGGG
rnacentral:rRNA from 1 species